AGACCCGAAACCCGGUGAUCUAGCCAUGGGCAGGUUGAAGGUUGGGUAACACUAACUGGAGGACCGAACCGACUAAUGUUGAAAAAUUAGCGGAUGACCUGUGGCUGGGGGUGAAAGGCCAAUCAAACCGGGAGAUAGCUGGUUCUCCCCGAAAGCUAUUUAGGUAGCGCCUCGUGAAUUCAUCUCCGGGGGUAGAGCACUGUUUCGGCUAGGGGGCCAUCCCGGCUUACCAACCCGAUGCAAACUGCGAAUACCGGAGAAUGUUAUCACGGGAGACACACGGCGGGUGCUAACGUCCGUCGUGAAGAGGGAAACAACCCAGACCGCCAGCUAAGGUCCCAAAGUCAUGGUUAAGUGGGAAACGAUGUGGGAAGGCCCAGACAGCCAGGAUGUUGGCUUAGAAGCAGCCAUCAUUUAAAGAAAGCGUAAUAGCUCACUGGUCGAGUCGGCCUGCGCGGAAGAUGUAACGGGGCUAAACCAUGCACCGAAGCUGCGGCAGCGACGCUUAUGCGUUGUUGGGUAGGGGAG
rnacentral:rRNA from 1 species